CCAGGCUCAGCUACUGGGAGCUACUUCCACCAGACUUACCUUUCCACAAGCUCAGACAAGCCGUUCCAGCCUUUAAGCAAUGCAAGGAUUGCUGCAUGCCAUAAAGAAUUACUGGAGAACGGAUACUUUGCUACUUUACAAGUGGACCAUGUGGUGACAUUCUGUCAUCAAACUAAUAUGGUGACCAGGGAUCAUGUGACCAAGCUCUUACAGUGGGAUAAGCUUUACCUUUUGAUAUGGAAAUUGAGUAAUUCAAUACCUUUCAGGAAAGAGGUAACCACUUCCCCCUAUCUCCAUUCCUUCUGUUCCUUCUUGGCUGUGCUACUGAGCAGUCCUUUAAGCAGAC